GAUGAACGCUGACAGAAUGCUUAACACAUGCAAGUCAACUUGAACUUCGGUUUGGGUGGCGGACGGGUGAGUAACGCGUAAAGAACUUGCCUCACAGCUGGGACAACAUUUGGAAACGAAUGCUAAUACCUGAUAUUAUGAUUUUAGGGCAUCCUAGAAUUAUGAAAGCUAUAUGCGCUGUGAGAGAGCUUUGCGUCCCAUUAGCUAGUUGGAGAGGUAACGGCUCACCAAGGCGAUGAUGGGUAGCCGGCCUGAGAGGGUGAACGGCCACAAGGGGACUGAGACACGGCCCUUACUCCUACGGGAGGCAGCAGUGGGGAAUAUUGGACAAUGGACCAAGAGUCUGAUCCAGCAAUUCUGUGUGCACGAUGAAGUUUUUCGGAAUGUAAAGUGCUUUCAGUUGGGAAGAAAAAAAUGACGGUACCAACAGAAGAAGUGACGGCUAAAUACGUG
rnacentral:rRNA from 1 species